CAGCCGCCGCGGUAAUACGUAGGGGGCGAGCGUUACCCGGAUUCACUGGGCGUAAAGGGGGUGUAGGCGGCUCGGUAAGUCGGGUGUGAAAUCCCACGGCUCAACCGUGGAAUUGCGCCCGAAACUGCCGAGCUUGGGGCCGGUAGAGGGAGACGGAACUGCCGGUGUAGGGGUGAAAUCCGUAGAUAUCGGCAGGAACGCCGGUGGGGAAGCCGGUCUCCUGGGCCGUGCCCGACGCUGAGGCCCGAAAGCUAGGGGAGCAAACCGGAUUAGAUACCCGGGUAGUCCUAGCCGUAAACGAUGCCCACUAGGUGUGGGGGAGUAUUUCCUCCGUGCUGUAGCUAACGCGUUAAGUGGGCCGCCUGGGGAGUACGCCCGCAAGGGUGAAACUUAAAGGAAUUGGCGGG
rnacentral:rRNA from 1 species